rnacentral:lncRNA from 1 species
UUUAUAGUAGUUAUGAUUGCACAUCAAUACGUCAAUCACACAAUUUCAAUCCAAACAUCAACAAAUACACACAUUAAGUCGUGUACAAAUAAUUCAACAACAUCAAUAACAAGUACAACCUACAUGUGAUACUAGAAAAUUGGAAGAGUCCUUACUUAUGUUAACUUCAUUAACAAGUAUCGUUAUCUCAAACAAAGCAUAGCUAAAAUUGCUCUCAUACAAAAAUCUUUAUUUCAAUCUUGUGACUCGAUCAUAAUAAGUCCUUAAGAGCUUAAUCACCUCCUAAUUUGUCCCACACUUCUAAUUUCAGCGACGUCUCAAAUUUUUGUGAUCAACUAUUUGUUUUUGUAUUUUUAUGUCAAAAUUUAGUAGUACACUUCUCACUACUACUACACACUUAUACUCAUUCCCUCACUCCUUCUUAUAUCUCCAAGGCCACCAAUCCAUUGCCACACCUAAUAAUUACAUCCUUAAGCCCAAUGGAAACACAUGCAUCCUACUCUUUUCCCAUCUUGAAGUAGACCACAUCAUACUCCACUUCUCCUCUUUACUGAGUAACAUUAUAUUUAACCUCAUCUCUCACUUAAGCAUAAUGAGAAAGAAAAACAACAUAAUCAUUAUCCUUCCUUCUUGUUUUUGCAAGUUGUGAGAAAAAUAUAAAAGAAUAAGUGUUUGAAGGAAGAAAAGAGGUAGAAAGAAGAUAACUUUGAAGCAGAGAAGGUUAGUGUUUACUACAAUCGGGUAGAGAUAAAGAUUACAUUGAGGAAUUUAUUAUCUCCUUCAAAAAGUUUCUAACAAAACAUAGAACCCCAACUAAAAAUCUUUAGGGUGUGUUUGGGUUUUAUCUUCAUUUUGAGAAUGACUAAGUAAAUAAAUUUCUAUUUUCAUUCUAAAAUUUCAAUUUUAGGUCUGACAUGUUAUGUGUUUGUUGAAAGUGCUAUGUCAAACUUGGUUUGAUGACAUGUUAUGUGUUUGUUGAUAG